GACCGGCGCACGGGUGCGUAACGCGUAUGCAAUCUACCUUUUACAGAGGGAUAGCCCAGAGAAAUUUGGAUUAAUACCUCAUAGUAUAAUGACUCGGCAUCGAGAUAUUAUUAAAGUCACAACGGUAAAAGAUGAGCAUGCGUCCCAUUAGCUUGUUGGUAAGGUAACGGCUUACCAAGGCAACGAUGGGUAGGGGUCCUGAGAGGGAGAUCCCCCACACUGGUACUGAGACACGGACCAGACUCCUACGGGAGGCAGCAGUGAGGAAUAUUGGUCAAUGGGCGCAAGCCUGAACCAGCCAUGCCGCGUGCAGGAUGAAGCAUCUAUGGUGUGUAAACUGCUUUUGUACGAGAAGAAACACUCCUACGUGUAGGAGCUUGACGGUAUCGUAAGAAUAAGGACCGGCUAACUCCGUGCCAGCAGCCGCGGUAAUACGGAGGGUCCAAGCGUUAUCCGGAAUCAUUGGGUUUAAAGGGUCCGUAGGCGGUUUUGUAAGUCAGUGGUGAAAGCCCAUCGCUCAACGGUGGAACGGCCAUUGAUACUGCAAGACUUGAAUUAUUGGGAAGCAACUAGAAUAUGUAGUGUAGCGGUGAAAUGCUUAGAGAUUACAUGGAAUACCAAUUGCGAAGGCAGGUUGCUACCAAUACAUUGACGCUGAUGGACGAAAGCGUGGGGAGCGAAC
rnacentral:rRNA from 1 species